GAGGGAAAAGGAGCAAUCCGCUUUGAGAUGGCCUCGCGUCCGAUUAGCUAGUUGGUGAGGUAACGGCCCACCAAGGCGACGAUCGGUAGCCGGACUGAGAGGUUGAACGGCCACAUUGGGACUGAGACACGGCCCAGACUCCUACGGGAGGCAGCAGUGGGGAAUAUUGCACAAUGGGGGAAACCCUGAUGCAGCGACGCCGCGUGGAGGAAGAAGGUCUUCGGAUUGUAAACUCCUGUUGUUGAGGAAGAUAAUGACGGUACUCAACAAGGAAGUGACGGCUAACUACGUGCCAGCAGCCGCGGUAAAACGUAGGUCACAAGCGUUGUCCGGAAUUACUGGGUGUAAAGGGAGCGCAGGCGGGAAGACAAGUUGGAAGUGAAAUCUAUGGGCUCAACCCAUAAACUGCUUUCAAAACUGUUUUUCUUGAGUAGUGCAGAGGUAGGCGGAAUUCCCGGUGUAGCGGUGGAAUGCGUAGAUAUCGGGAGGAACACCAGUGGCGAAGGCGGCCUACUGGGCACCAACUGACGCUGAGGCUCGAAAGUGUGGGUAGCAAACAGGAUUAGAUACCCUGGUAGUCCACACCGUAAACGAUGAUAACUAGGUGUUGGAGGAUUGACCCCUUCAGUGCCGCAG
rnacentral:rRNA from 1 species